UCGAGAAUCUUCGGCAAUGGGCGCAAGCCUGACCGAGCGACGCCGCGUGGAGGAUGAAGGCCUUCGGGUUGUAAACUCCUGUCGAGGGGGAAAAAGGCUUCGCAAGAAGCUUGAUUGAUCCCUGGAGGAAGCACGGGCUAAGUUCGUGCCAGCAGCCGCGGUAAGACGAACCGUGCGAACGUUAUUCGGAAUCACUGGGCUUAAAGCGCGUGUAGGCGGAUGAGAACGUCUGUCGCUGAAAUCCCCCGGCUCAACCGGGGAACUGGCGGAGAUACGGCUCGUCCGGAGGGGCGUAGGGGGACCUGGAACUUCCGGUGGAGCGGUGAAAUGCGUUGAGAUCGGAAGGAACGCCCGUGGCGAAAGCGAGGUCCUGGACGCCUACUGACGCUGAGACGCGAAAGCCAGGGGAGCGAACG
rnacentral:rRNA from 1 species